CCUUCAUCUGCAGUUCAUUCCUGCUACAUCAAGAUACCAUGAAGGUAGCAGAGAUGUGACAGAGUCAUGCACUGACAGGAGGAAAAGGCCCUCGAUGGUUCAAUCCCAGAGAUAUGGAGAUCUUAACGCGGCUCCAUGCAUAAAUUGGUUUUUUUUCCUCCCAUCCUGUAGCCUACCCGGGAGAGUGUCCGCGCCCCACCGGUUGAGAACCACUGGCAUAGAACAUGCAUAAGUUCCAUAAAUAUUCCUUUUCCAAAGUUUGCAUGCCUGUAAAGUAUUCAAGAUAUCUUAAUAUCCUUCUAGAUUCUAAUCUUGAAUAAACUUUUCAUUUGGAAAUGGUGGAUUACUCAGUAAAUAUACAUCUGUAACAUUUAAUAUUUUGGUUUUCAUCAUUAUAUAUGUUUGUCUUUCA